GGGGAUGCACCGGUUUCGACGGGUACGGGAGAGUCUGUGCUGCAAGUAAGGUUACGCCUGUCCUUUAAACAGACGAAAAAAAUUAACUGCAGAAGACAAUUCUCAGUUAGCUCUCGCCGCGUAAGCUGCGUUUGAGCCGGAAACCUGUUUGCGCUGUUCCGAGCAUUCGGGAUUUCUGUCACAAAUCGGGGCUUGCCGCAUAAUGUGUUCGGUCUUUAUGCGGGACUUACAAUCGAAAUACGGAAACGACGCUUGCGGUGCUGCCACCGUUUCCCGACAAUCACCUCGCACCGCUAAACUUGUAGAGGUACUUGUUUUACGUAUUCGGACGGGGGUUCAAUUCCCCCCAUCUCCAA
rnacentral:tmRNA from 1 species